rnacentral:rRNA from 1 species
AAGCCUUGGAUCCAGCCAUGCCGCGUGUGUGAAGAAGGCUUCGGAUUGUAAAGCACUUUAAGUUGGGAGGAAGGGCAGUAAGCUAAUACCUUGCUGUUUUGACGUUACCGACAGAAUAAGCACCGGCUAACUCUGUGCCACCUACCGCGGUAAUCGG